UAUGGUCAUAUCACAUUGAAACACCAGUUCCCAUAUGAUCACCGAAGUUAAGCAAUGCUGAACCUGGUCAGCAUCUUGAUUAGUGACUGCUUGGGAAUACCAGGUAUUGCU